AUUCCUUUGUACUAUUUAAAAGAGGGGCUGCAUGGUUUCCCUCAUUUGUGGUAGCUAGAAUGUGUCUAUAAAUCUAUAAGCAAACACACUGAAUGAU